rnacentral:rRNA from 1 species
CCUACGGGAGGCAGCAGUGGGGAAUAUUGGACAAUGGGGGCAACCCUGAUCCAGCCAUGCCGCGUGUGUGAAGAAGGCCCUCGGGUUGUAAAGCACUUUCAGUGAGGAAGAACGCCUGGUGGUUAAUACCCAUCAGGAAAGACAUCACUCACAGAAGAAGCACCGGCUAACUCCGUGCCAGCAGCCGCGGUAAUACGGAGGGUGCGAGCGUUAAUCGGAAUUACUGGGCGUAAAGCGCGCGUAGGUGGCUUGAUAAGCCGGUUGUGAAAGCCCCGGGCUCAACCUGGGAACGGCAUCCGGAACUGUCAAGCUAGAGUGCAGGAGAGGAAGGUAGAAUUCCCGGUGUAGCGGUGAAAUGCGUAGAGAUCGGGAGGAAUACCAGUGGCGAAGGCGGCCUUCUGGACUGACACUGACACUGAGGUGCGAAAGCGUGGGUAGCAAACAGGAUUAGAUACCCCAGUAGAC